rnacentral:piRNA from 1 species
GCUUGGGAACACCCGCGUCAGGGCUG